CCGCCACAAGCGCCCGACCAUGCGGUAUAAUUCGAACCACCGCGAAGAACCUUCCCCGGUCUUGACAUACUCUGCCACCCCCUAGAGAUAGGGCUCCCCUUCGGGAGCAGAUUGACAGCUGGUGCAUGGUUGUCGUCAGCUCGUGUCGUGAGAUGCUCGGUUAAGUCCCGCAACGAGCGCAACCCUUGAUCUUAGUUCCCAUCACUUAGUUGGGCACUCUAAGGUGCCUGCCGGUGACAAACCGGAGGAAGGUUGGGAUGACGUCAAAUCAUCAUGCCCCUUAUGACUUGGGCUACACACGUGCUCCAAUGGACCGUACAAAGAGCUGCAAGACCGCGAGGUGGAGCUAAUCUCAUAAAACCGUUCUCAGUUCGGACUGUAGGCUGCAACUCGCCAACAAAAACUGGAAUCGCUUGUAUCCCCGAUCA
rnacentral:rRNA from 1 species